rnacentral:sRNA from 1 species
GAACUCGAUUCCGAUUACCGCAGGUCUCUCGGACUAGUUGAGAGGGUGCAUGUGGUUCGUCCGAUAGAUCGUAGCGUGGCGAAAGCACCGGAGCAGUCUCAGGAAUUACAAUGCGCCUGUAAAACCGGCUAGGCUUCCGACAUAGACGCGGUGGUCUGUCCCCCGAGUGCCAUUCUUCUGGAUCUGAUGCAGCGCAAUGUUCUUUUGCGUCUGCCGACGGGCGAGCUCGGUCAACGUAAUACAACUGCUUCGAAUUGAGGCUACCAUAUCUUCUGCUAGAGCGGAACAUGUUCCCUCGGGAAUGUGAACAACAACCGGCCUGGCCUCUGGAUCUGGAGGUAUUCCACAGCACCCUGAUAGCCCAAAUCCUCUGUUGAUAAAAACAGGACUCCCAUCCGAGUCAGUGGAGAUAUAUCGGGUGCUGCUUUCCAUCGGCCAGCCCACGCACUGCUCUUGGGUAACGCAUUUGCGACACGAGCGAUGUCUGCCAUAGCCUCGGGAGAAUAGCGCAACACCUCUUGCCAUGGUUCGGGGAUUCUGGCAAACUCUACUAGUUCCACAAAUGCCCCGUUGGGGCAGUAUGCGUUCAGAACAGAUUGGGGAGGGGUUUGACCGAUCACCGUUCCAACCGGGAAUUGCCUGAAUGCGGCACGGUCCCGACGUCCCCGUGGGCCUACUAAGGCCCCGGUCAUAAUAUCGACGGGAACUGGGCCAUGGGAUGUGUUGAAUCUGUGGAUAGCUUCUACUAUCUCUGGACUAUCCGUCAUAGGGGGACGUGUCCGCAAGGCCAGAGGAGGAUGUCACCUGAAUAUCAUUGCGUUGGACGGCUCGGCCGGACUUGGGAGGACGCCCACGUGGGCGUCCUCCCCCACGCCUGUUUGCGGUUUCUUGGGGUAAGUAGUCCUCAUCUUCCAGUUUACGCGUUCGGGGCGAUGUUUUUCUCCCCUUAGACUGCGGUCCGGAUCGCCCACCACGAUUACUACCUCUGCCCCGACGCGGGCGGCUCGAACAAUCAGCCCGCGGUCUGGGGGGCGACGGAGAUGGUGACCUAGAUGAUGAAGGUGAAGACGGGACGAUUAGAGAAGAUGAUGACGGUGAGGAUGAUGAAGAGGAGGAAGAUGAAGAGGAUGGCGAUCUGGAAACAUGUCCGACGUUCCGGGCCGCGUGGUCUGGGGGAACUUCGUGGAGAUGAGGUUGUGUGAGGCAGUUCGCUCAUUCUGCCAGAAGAUGGAGUAGUCAGCCGUGGACCUGAGCUCAACUCUAGCUUCGCGAAUGGCCGCGGAGAGCGCAGGAGGCAGCGUGGUAGAUGGUUGUGGCAUCUCAAAAGUAACUUCGCAGCCAGGCAUUUAAAGUCUUUCCAUGCCAAACCGGUCCAGGGAUUGGUGCUUCCAUCUCGGCCGUCCACCCAGGUAAUCUCGGGCAAUGGGAACAGCAAUCACUUUCGAAUUCCUUCAGCCCAAAGCACAACCGCGGGUCCACCGGGACUCUCCGACAUAGCUCGAGCCAAAAGGGAAUUGUAGCCCAGGCAAGAAGGGCGGUGCAUAUCUGCAAGUAAACAAAACUCGGGGUUCUGUACGAUUGGCCGGGGUCUUACAUGCUCGCCGAAUUGGAUUUGAGAAUCAAUCUUCCGACGGGUCUCCUGACUUGAACAGGGGAAAGGGGGAGGGGGAGUGUGUUAUCUUGUCGCGAACCAAUAA